UUAGGUGUAGUUUAAAGAAAAUGUUAGCUUGUCAUGCUAUAGAUAUUUGUUUCACUUAAU
rnacentral:tRNA from 1 species